GUAGAUUCCACAUACAUGCGUUAAUAUACGAUAUUUGUCUUUCUCUUUCUGACUGCACUCUGUAUGACAGUCUCUAGGUCCAUCCACGAGAACUGUUAAAUCAAGGGAGUUACGUGAUGAGACUGAGUUUCCAAAGCAUCAUCGGUUGUAUGCGGAGAGGAGAUGAGUGGUAAGGGGACCAGGGCACAGGUAGAGGUGAGGCCAAACUGGAGGGACAUUUAGGAGGAAAGUGGACCUACUAAGGGACGCUUUGGAUUUGGGAGCUGGAGAGAGGGCUUUCACAAAUGCCUCUUCAGUUUCUGUUUGCAGAAUGGCUUCAUUUAGAGAGACAGGAGACACUGAACGAGUACUAGCUUUAGGGGAAGACAUGUGAGUUUGAUUUUACACACACUGACUUUCAAGUAUCUUUGAGAUUUACCCAGGAGGCAGCUAGAGACGUAGGACUGAAGCUCAGAGUAGCGGCUUGGGUUUGAGAUGAGUUUGUGGGUCACUUGUGUCCUUUGUGUUUGAUGGAUGCAUGGGAGAGAUUGUCUGGAGGGAGGAGUGGCCCUAGCAUGGAGCUUUGGGGAAUUCCAACGUUAAAACUGGAAUGGCAGGGGUAAAGUUCACACACUGCUAAUAACAGGGAAAAUCAGACUCAGAGCUAAGAGCUUUAUAAUAAUAACUAUUAUCAAAACCUAUUUUUUAAGAGGUGGAAAUUUGCAUGGAGCUAUAACCCUAAGCAUGGAGCUUUGGGGAAUGUCACGUUUCUAAAAUGUGGCCGAGGAAGGACUUCACACAGCAGCCGAGUGGCAGGAAGCAACCAGAUGAGGAGGCAGCUUUAAGUCUUGGCCAGAAGUAACCCAAGGGCACGGUCAACAACAUUGGGAGUGACCAGGAGGUAUUUUUAGUGUGAUAUGCUUAGAACAAAGCAUGGAGAGCAAUAACCUUGACUGAGCCCCUCCUAGGAGAGGAGUGCAAGGUUCACAGUUAACCAUGAGGCUGUGAAAAUGUGGAAGGGUAAAGCACGGAGAGGACAGGAGAGUGCGAACUGAAAGUGAUUCGUGACAGCUCUCUCCCGGCUCUGAGUUGUUCUUAACCACAAGGAUUUUACGCACAGCUCAAAGUCAAGCCUGAACUUCCCCUUGGUCCACUGAGCUGUCCACACAGAAGGACAACGGGGAGAGGGGGAUGGUGUGAAUUAGGAAUGUCACUGCUGCAGUCAGGAGAGUGGGUCUCAUUUCAGAGAUGAUUUAUCCUGAUUUAUUUUCAAAUGAUGUUUCUCAAUGGAAUUCUACUCAGCCAUAAAACAAACUGAAACAAAAUGAAACUGAAAUAAUGCCAUUUGCAGCAACAUGGAUGGACCUAGAGAUUAUCAUGCUAAGUGAAGGGCACGUUAAAGAUGACAGAAUAUUCCUCAACAUCUCUAAUGAAGGGUGGAGCCUGUGCUUCUUCCCCUUGAACCCGAGCGGGCUCUGACAAAUAGAGCACAGUGACGCCGGUUUUCAGGUCCAGGUCUUGAAGGCCUGGCAGCUUCCACUCUGCUUCCUGCAGCCCUGAGCUGUCACAUCAGAAGCCCAAGUACUGCGAGAGAGACUAGAUGGGGAGGCUUGGACUCCAGCCGGAGAGGGGGAGCUGAGCCCAGCUGAGCCAGCCUUCCUGAAUUUUCCACCAAAAUGUCAGGCAUAUGCGUGAAGCCAUCUUGGACCCUCCAGUUCAGCCCUGCUGCCACCAAAAUCCACCCACUGUCCCCCAUCAACGCCGUGUGAAGCAGAAGAAAUGCCUCGUUGAGCUGACCCAGAGAUCGUGAGGAUGAAUGCCAUGAUUUCUGUCAAGAAGCAGGCCUCUGAUAAGAACCUUUGAACCUUCCAGAAAAAAGAAAAGUUUUCCUAUUUCAGGAAUGCCUUUCCAAGACACAUGACUCAUUUAUAGCCACCUGCAGAUUACAAUCUACAGCGUACAUUCCAGGCAGCAUUGGGGCAUCUAAAUUUGAUUAGGCAGACGAAAAAUUCCUGUAUUAAAUUCUUAUCUGGUUUUGAAAACUUUCUCAUAGAUGCCCUGAGAACAGAUGCCAAUCAUUCCCAUUGACCUUUGCUCUACUGAUUAUCAUCAACAUUCCCUGCCAGAAAGUGCAGUAGGUUAUAGAACAAGCCAUCAUUUUUAAUUGGCUUUUUCAGGAGCAAUCUAUUAGAUUUGUAGAAACCUCAUUCCAGAGCAUCAAGGGCAAUUUUAUUGAAGAAAUGUAAGAACUAAGCUCUUCUACUUCUGCAAGAACUUAAAGGUAUUGGAUGGGUAAAAUUAUGAAUUGAUUUGCUAUACAUCAUACUUGGGGAUAUGACUCUUCUGUCUCAAAUAAAUCAAUAAUUGCACUCAGUUUUUGCUCUGUGCGUGCUGUGCUCUCUAUGGAUGGACAAAUGCCUGUUUCUCUAAAAUGAUGCAGUGAUGGAAUGUUCUGGCUAUUCAAAUAUCCAAAUAUUUGACUUAAUUGGGAAUUCCUAUCCAUACCAGAGAGUAUUUCCCAAUUUCAAAAAAUUUCAAGUAAAUGAAAUACUUUAUAACUACCACUGGCAAUGAUUUUUUUCCUUGUCUGAUGAUUCAGAAGGCCCAGGAAUUUCCAGGGUGCCCAAGGGCACCCUUAGGAACUUCACGAUGUAGACAAAGAAAGUACAAGAAACUGUGAAAUCUGCUAUUAAGUCUAUGUCAAUGUCAGAUCCCAGAGUUGUGUAGAAUUCAUGCUGCA